rfam:Gorilla gorilla gorilla genomic chromosome, chrX, whole genome shotgun sequence
GGCCGGUUAGCUCAGUUGGUUAGAGCGUGGUGCUGAUAACACUGACGUCGCGGGCUCGACUCCCGCACCAGCCA